rnacentral:lncRNA from 1 species
ACUGUAAUCGCUGACCAGAUUGGUACUUAAGUGCUCGAUAUGCAGCCUGAACUACUGCAGGUACUUUGUGUGGUUCUAACUAUCCAUGUUUAUAUUUAAAUGUCAAUAAGAUCAGUAUGGAUGUGGAGCCAUGGUUCUGCUCACUAGCGACAAUGUGUAUUCUUGCAGUUAGAAUGGAGUUGUUUUAAAUACUAGACUAUCUACAGGACUGAGCGCUACAGGUGCAGAGGAUAGUUCUUUCGAUUAAUUGUCGUGUUGAGGCAAGUGCAUGGCGGACCUUUUCUCCGUAUACUUGACUGUGUUGUUGACGCAGGUACACACCCUCCUCUCUUCUUCCUGAUAUUUUCCUUCCCCUUUCUUCCAGUGCCCUACUUCUAGACCAUCUCAUCUAUGUAAUCAUGAAAUUUCAUUUUUCUAAAAUUUAAUUCAGGUCUAUGAAAAUAAGUUGAGUAGUCUGACCAGAGGAUGACAGAGGACGUCGAGAUUUUGAUCCAGCAGCCUUGCCUCCUUUCGUCCGGCGUGCCGCCUGCAGGAGGUUACGUUCUAGAUCUUCAGAAUUUUUAGGUACUCACUCUCCCUUGAUGCUCUUUGAUCGAACCUACUUUGCAGGAAAGCGUGCCAGUAGUAAGAAGUUUUAGCAAGUCUGUUAUUGAAAGUGCUGUAGGCACUGAUGUGAUCCGAGGUGACCAACCUGAGCAGCAGUUUAGUGAAGGUAUACUCAGACCCGAGGAUCCUAGAAAAUUAUAAAUUAUAGUUGUUUGCAUAGCCAGAUCAUUGAUGGGUGCAUAUUAUUGUUUAUACAAGCAAACUUAGUUGAGUAGUUCAUUGAUUAAUUUGGACUAACUGAAUGUGAUCUUCCCAAUCUAAUAUGUGUACUUCUAGCUCUAAGGACUAGCAAGAGUUAAAUAUUGCAGGUUGUAAAUGAUGGAACUCAUAUAACUGAAUGUGAAGGAAGUAACGAGAGUUGCUAAUUUCGUAUUUUUGGUUUGUACAACUCAGGUGUUUGAUACAGUUCUCCUAAAAAGGGAGAAGUGUCUGAGGUGAUUUCUUCUAUGCAUGAUAUUACAGUGUCCUCCCGUAUUUUCUGUUUUUUGUAGGCAUGUUAAAAUGUUGUUGUUCCUUUUGACCACACUAAUGUGUCUGUCCACUCACCAGUCACCACGCCUAACUAUUUUCUAUUUAUUUUUUUGUAGGAAAUCUACUUGCUCUUUCAAGCUAUGAAUAUUUUAGAUCAGUAUAUUUUAAGGUUGUAAAGACUGAUGUGUCGGCUAAAGCUUAAAGAUCAUAAAUUCAUUGUUUACCCUACCAAGUUUAUUUCUCAUUGAAGAUUAUUCUAGAAACUAUAUUAUAAGCCCAUUGCUACUUUUUACAUGUAACUUAUGGUAUAUCCUCAUAUAUGUCAAGACUAUAAAACAAGUGUCUUCGUCCUGCUCAUACAUCUUUUCAUUAUGAUCUGUGUUAACCUCUCCCAUU